UAAGGGCGCACGGUGGAUGCCUUGGCACUAGGAGCCGAUGAAGGACGGGACUAACACCGAUAUGCUUUGGGGAGCUGUACGUAAGCUAUGAUCCAGAGAUUUCCGAAUGGGGGAACCCAGCAUCUUUAAUAGGAUGUUACGAUUGUGUGAAUACAUAGCACAUUCGAGGUAGACGCAGAGAACUGAAACAUCUAAGUACCUGUAGGAAGAGAAAGAAAAUUCGAUUCCCUGAGUAGCGGCGAGCGAAACGGGAAAAGCCCAAACCAACAAGCUUGCUUGUUGGGGUUGUAGGACUCCAAUAUGGUCGUUCUUUCAGAUAGUCGAAUGACUUGGAAAAGUCAGUCAAAGAGGGUAAAAACCCCGUAGACGAAAUGUGGAAGACACCUAGGAGGAUCCUGAGUACGGCGGAACACGAGAAAUUCCGUCGGAAUCCGGGAGGACCAUCUCCCAAGGCUAAAUACUCCCUAGUGACCGAUAGUGAACCAGUACCGUGAGGGAAAGGUGAAAAGCACCCCGGAAGGGGAGUGAAAUAGAACCUGAAACCGUGUGCCUACAACAAGUCAAAGCCCGUUAAUGGGUGAUGGCGUGCCUUUUGUAGAAUGAACCGGCGAGUUACGAUUGCAUGCGAGGUUAAGUUGAAGAGACGGAGCCGCAGCGAAAGCGAGUCUGAAUAGGGCGUUUGAGUAUGUAGUCGUAGACCCGAAACCAUGUGAUCUACCCAUGUCCAGGUUGAAGGUGCGGUAAAACGCACUGGAGGACCGAACCCACGUACGUUGAAAAGUGCGGGGAUGAGGUGUGGGUAGCGGAGAAAUUCCAAACGAACUUGGAGAUAGCUGGUUCUCUCCGAAAUAGCUUUAGGGCUAGCCUCGGAAUUGAGAAUGAUGGAGGUAGAGCACUGUUUGGACUAGGGGCCCAUCUCGGGUUACCGAAUUCAGAUAAACUCCGAAUGCCAUUCAUUCAUAUCCGGGAGUCAGACUGUGAGUGAUAAGAUCCAUAGUCGAAAGGGAAACAGCCCAGACCACCAGCUAAGGUCCCAAAAUAUAUGUUAAGUGGAAAAGGAUGUGGGGUUGCACAGACAACUAGGAUGUUGGCUUAGAAGCAGCCACCAUUUAAAGAGUGCGUAAUAGCUCACUAGUCGAGUGACCCUGCGCCGAAAAUGUACCGGGGCUAAACAUAUUACCGAAGCUGUGGAGUACACCUUUAGGUGUAUUGGUAGGAGAGCGUUCUAAGGGCGUCGAAGGCAGAUCGUGAGGACUGCUGGAGCGCUUAGAAGUGAGAAUGCCGGUAUGAGUAGCGAAAGACAGGUGAGAAUCCUGUCCACCGAAUGACUAAGGUUUCCUGGGGAAGGCUCGUCCGCCCAGGGUUAGUCGGGACCUAAGCCGAGGCCGAUAGGCGUAGGCGAUGGAUAACAGGUUGAUAUUCCUGUACCCGUUGUUUUUGUUUGAGCAAUGGAGGGACGCAGGAGGCUAAGGAAUGCAGACGAUUGGAAAUGUCUGUCCAAGCAGUAAGUCUGAAGAGGAGUCAAAUGCUUCUUUUCUUAAGGACAA
rnacentral:rRNA from 1 species